rnacentral:misc_RNA from 1 species
GAUGAAGAACGUAGCGAAAUGCGAUAAGUAAUGUGAAUUGCAGAAUUCAGUGAAUCAUCGAAUCUUUGAACGCACAUUGCGCCCGCCAGCAUUCUGGCGGGCAUGCCUGUUCGAGCGUCAUUUCAACCCUCAAGCUCUGCUUGGUGUUGGGGCCCUACGGUUGACGUAGGCCCUUAAAGGUAGUGGCGGACCCUCUCGGAGCCUCCUUUGCGUAGUAACUAACGUCUCGCAUUGGGAUUCGGAGGGACUCUUGCCGUAAAACCCCCAAAUUUUCUAAUGGUUGACCUCGGAUCAGGUAGGAAUACCCGCUAAACUUAAGCAUAUCAAUAAGCGGAGGA